AGUGAACGCUGGCGGCAGGCCUAAUACAUGCAAGUCGAACGGCAGCACAGCAGAGCUUGCUCUGUGGGUGGCGAGUGGCGGACGGGUGAGGAAUACAUGGGAAUCUGCCCAGUCGUGGGGGAUAACGUAUGGAAACGUACGCUAAUACCGCAUGCGCCCUAAGGGGGAAAGGCCGGGGACCGCAAGGCCUGGCGCGAUUGGAUGAGCCCAUGUUCGAUUAGCUAGUUGGCGGGGUAAAGGCCCACCAAGGCGACGAUCGAUAGCUGGUCUGAGAGGAUGAUCAGCCACACUGGAACUGAGACACGGUCCAGACUCCUACGGGAGGCAGCAGUAGGGAAUAUCGGACAAUGGGGGCGAACCCUCGAUCCAGCCAUGCCGCGUGAGUGAGAAGGCCUCGGGUUGCAAAGCUCUUUUGUCCGGAAGAAAAGCAAUCGGUUAAUACCCGGUUGUUCUGACGGUACCGGAAGAAUAAGCACCGG
rnacentral:rRNA from 1 species